rnacentral:rRNA from 1 species
AUUGAACGCUGGCGGCAGGCCUAACACAUGCAAGUCGAACGAGUGGCGGACGGGUGAGUAAUGUCUGGGAAACUGCCUGAUGGAGGGGGAUAACUACUGGAAACGGUAGCUAAUACCGCAUACCAUCGGAUGUGCCCAGAUGGGAUUAGCUUGGAGGUGGGGUAAAGGCUCACCUAGGCGACGAUCCCUAGCUGGUCUGAGAGGAUGCCAAGCCACACUGGAACUGAGACACGGUCCAGACUCCUACGGGAGGAAGCAGUGGGGAAGAUUGGACAAGGGGCGAAAGCCUGAUGCAGCCAUGCCGAGUGUAUGAAGAAGGUCUUCGGGUUGUAAAGUACUUUCAGCGGGGAGGCGUUACCCGCAGAAGAAGCACCGGAUAACUACGUGCCAGCAGCCGCGGUAAUAC